rnacentral:rRNA from 1 species
GAUGAACGCUGGCGGCGUGCCUAAUACAUGCAAGUCGAGCGAACAGACGAGGAGCUUGCUCCUCUGACGUUAGCGGCGGACGGGUGAGUAACACGUGGAUAACCUACCUAUAAGACUGGGAUAACUUCGGGAAACCGGAGCUAAUACCGGAUAAUAUAUUGAACCGCAUGGUUCAAUAGUGAAAGACGGUUUUGCUGUCACUUAUAGAUGGUUCCCGGCCGCAUUAGCUAGUUGGUAAGGUAACGGCUUACCAAGGCAACGAUGCGUAGCCGACCUGAGAGGGUGAUGGGCCACACUGGAACUGAGACACGGUCCAGACUCCUACGGGAGGCAGCAGUAGGGAAUCUUCCGCAAUGGGCGAAAGCCUGACGGAGCAACGCCGCGUGAGUGAUGAAGGUCUUCGGAUCGUAAAACUCUGUUAUUAGGGAAGAACAAAUGUGUAAGUAACUAUGCACGUCUUGACGGUACCUAAUCAGAAAGCCACGGCUAACUACGUG